rnacentral:snRNA from 1 species
UUGCUUUUGCAGCACAUAUACUAAAAUUAGAAUGAUACAAUGACGACUGGCAUGGCAAUAGCACAAGGAUGAUGCACAAAUUUGUGAAGCAAAAGUAAUGGCU